rnacentral:rRNA from 1 species
GGUUAAGCGACUAAGCGUACACGGUGGAUGCCCUGGCAGUCAGAGGCGAUGAAGGACGUGCUAAUCUGCGAUAAGCGUCGGUGAGGUGAUAUGAACCGUUAUAACCGGCGAUUUCCGAAUGGGGAAACCCAGUGUGUUUCGACACACUAUCAUUAACUGAAUCCAUAGGUUAAUGAGGCGAACCGGGGGAACUGAAACAUCUAAGUACCCCGAGGAAAAGAAAUCAACCGAGAUUCCCCCAGUAGCGGCGAGCGAACGGGGAGGAGCCCAGAGCCUGAAUCAGUGUGUGUGUUAGUGGAAGCGUCUGGAAAGGCGUGCGAUACAGGGUGACAGCCCCGUACACAAAAAUGCACAUAUUGUGAGCUCGAUGAGUAGGGCGGGACACGUGGUAUCCUGUCUGAAUAUGGGGGGACCAUCCUCCAAGGCUAAAUACUCCUGACUGACCGAUAGUGAACCAGUACCGUGAGGGAAAGGCGAAAAGAACCCCGGCGAGGGGAGUGAAAAAGAACCUGAAACCGUGUACGUACAAGCAGUGGGAGCCUCUUAAUGGGGUGACUGCGUACCUUUUGUAUAAUGGGUCAGCGACUUAUAUUCUGUAGCAAGGUUAACCGAAUAGGGGAGCCGAAGGGAAACCGAGUCUUAACUGGGCGUUAAGUUGCAGGGUAUAGACCCGAAACCCGGUGAUCUAGCCAUGGGCAGGUUGAAGGUUGGGUAACACUAACUGGAGGACCGAACCGACUAAUGUUGAAAAAUUAGCGGAUGACUUGUGGCUGGGGGUGAAAGGCCAAUCAAACCGGGAGAUAGCUGGUUCUCCCCGAAAGCUAUUUAGGUAGCGCCUCGUGAAUUCAUCUCCGGGGGUAG